ACCUAAACCCGAUCGCAGUAGUUCCGAUGCUUUUCGAUAAAUUACCAUACCAGAUCAAUUUGCAUCGGAUUAACGGAGAGCGGGACUGCAG
rnacentral:ncRNA from 2 species